UUAAAUAAAAUAUGUUUGAAUUUUUAAUUAAAUUCUUGAUUAAAAAUAUUAGUUAUAAAUUAAUUCAGAUAAAUAUUUUAAAAUUCUUUUAUUGAAAAAAAUAUUACAAAGCAUUCAUGUGAGAUAAGGCGAUCUGAAAAUAACUGUACCUGUAUACGGGAUUAUCUGCGUAGAUAGAUUAUCUAUCGAUGUUCUGUCAUGCAUUCCAUGUAAUUAGACCUCAAGGAGUGUCGUUUGUUGAUUAGACGUUCGUCGACUUAGGUUAUUCGUAGCUGGAUUCUAUCAAAUGUUUUCGAUGGAGUAUCUUUUAAUGUUUGAAUAACUUUUAAGAAUAUUUUUAAAUAGAAGUAGUAAAAGUUUGUUUAGUUUGAUGAAAUUUGACUAGAUUUAAUCAAUUCGACAUUUUACUUGAAGAAUCUGCAAGCGUAUACACGGGCACGCGUUACAAUCGCGUUACAUGGUUUCUAGCGACUUAGAAACGCGACGAACAGCUUUUCACAGAGAAGGGUUUAAGCACUCUAAUCAAAUCUACGAUGUUAGUUUCUUGUCAUUGCCCUCUCGGUUUGCACGCAAAAGUCUAUUGGCACGUUUUUCAACGCAAACAUGAGCUAACUACUGAAGUUGCUGUUCCAUUAGUGUAGCUACUUUACUUUCUACAUUUGAAAACUUAAACAUUUAAAUUUUUCUUUUUUCUCUUGUUCUUCAAUGUAUAAUGUUUAUUCUAUUAAAUUCUUUGAAAAAAAAAAAAAUAUUUACGACAAUCUUGAUUGCAUUUAUCUUUAUGAAUAUUUUAGGUUAGAUUUCAAUGACUAAGACUGGAAGUUCUAGGUUAAAUUUCGUUUAUAUGUCAGAUAUUAUAUGCUUUUGCGUUUCUUUCUUGUCUUUUAAAAUAAUAAAUAACAAUAUUUUUGCUAAGUUUUUUAAAAAAAAAUUUUUUAUAUAUUUUAUUAUCAAUUUUAAAAAUUACUUUAACAUUGUAGAAAAGAUAAUAAUGAUCAACAUUAUUAUUUUAUUUUUCAAUGUCAUUUUAUUUAUCUUUAAAAAAAUAAUAUAAAUUAUUCAGAAAAAUUUUUUCAAUAAAAUAGACAAUAUGAAUUAUUGAUAUAUAUCACUACGAUAAGAUAUAUUGUAACUUGAACGUGUCCAACUUUGAUAGCUAUGUUCUUAAAAGACUCAAUUAAAUCGUUUUUAUCU